rnacentral:rRNA from 1 species
AGAGUUUGAUCCUGGCUCAGGACGAACGCUGGCGGCGCGCCUAACACAUGCAAGUCGAACGAGAGAGAAGGAGCUUGCUUCUUCGAUCGAGUGGCGAACGGGUGAGUAACGCGUGAGGAACCUGCCUCAAAGAGGGGGACAACAGUUGGAAACGACUGCUAAUACCGCAUAAGCCCACGGCUCGGCAUCGAGCAGAGGGAAAAGGAGUGAUCCGCUUUGAGAUGGCCUCGCGUCCGAUUAGCUAGUUGGUGAGGUAACGGCCCACCAAGGCGACGAUCGGUAGCCGGACUGAGAGGUUGAACGGCCACAUUGGGACUGAGACACGGCCCAGACUCCUACGGGAGGCAGCAGUGGGGAAUAUUGCACAAUGGGGGAAACCCUGAUGCAGCGACGCCGCGUGGAGGAAGAAGGUCUUCGGAUUGUAAACUCCUGUUGUUGAGGAAGAUAAUGACGGUACUCAACAAGGAAGUGACGGCUAACUACGUGCCAGCAGCCGCGGUAAAACGUAGGUCACAAGCGUUGUCCGGAAUUACUGGGUGUAAAGGGAGCGCAGGCGGGAGAACAAGUUGGAAGUGAAAUCCAUGGGCUCAACCCAUGAACUGCUUUCAAAACUGUUUUUCUUGAGUAGUGCAGAGGUAGGCGGAAUUCCCGGUGUAGCGGUGGAAUGCGUAGAUAUCGGGAGGAACACCAGUGGCGAAGGCGGCCUACUGGGCACCAACUGACGCUGAGGCUCGAAAGCAUGGGUAGCAAACAGGAUUAGAUACCCUGGUAGUCCAUGCCGUAAACGAUGAUUACUAGGUGUUGGAGGAUUGACCCCUUCAGUGCCGCAGUUAACACAAUAAGUAAUCCACCUGGGGAGUACGACCGCAAGGUUGAAACUCAAAGGAAUUGACG